AUGAUCAUAAGUGGCGAUACAAUGAACGGAGUGGUAGAGCCAGCGCAGCGUGUAUGGAAUACUUGGGGCAUGCAUAUGUUGGUUCUGCUGAGCUUCACAGUCCAGGUCACGCUCCAAGUCUUUGCCGAAAUCCGUCGGCGCAGAAGUUCCGGCAUAUUACUUGGCAUUGUUUGGUCUGCAUACAUGCUGGCCGACACGGUGGCAGUAUACACCCUCGGCCAUUUCUUCACCACCAACAGUUCGGUUGAACAUGUCCUUAUGGUGCUAUGGGCGCCAUUGCUGCUGGUGCACCUUGGCGGCCAGGACAACAUCACCGCCUUAUCCAUUGAGGACAACCAGCUGUGGCUACGCCACCUGCAGAACUUGGGCGUGCAGGUUGUUGCAACAGCCUCUGUCCUCUACCAGUCUUCCAUGCUCAGCCACCCAGCCUGGCUCCGUGCAGCCACUAUCCUUAUGUUUAUGGUUGGGGUUCUGAAGUACGGCGAGAGAGUAUGGGCCCUCAAGCGGGCCAGCGGUGAACCCAGUAGGGGGUUCGUGGAUAUAUUUCAAGAAAAGCAGUGGGAACAGGGGGCUGACAAGCUGUACCACAAGAUGCAGAUGAAGAUCUCGCAGGUGUACGACGUCUUCUAUGGCAAGAGUCUGGUCAUGUUCUCACCGUACGGCAUCUGCAUCCGUGUCAUCUGCCCGCUGGCCACUGUCGCGGCACUCCUUCUUUUUCAUCUAGUCGGUGAUAAAGAUGGUUUGAAUAGUAUGGACGUCACUGCCACUUACAUUCUGCUAGUUGGCGCCCUUGUCCUGGAGACCACAUCAGCGUUUAGGCUCAUAUUCCCGAAGAUGUUGAAAGGUAGAUGGUGUGGCCGUCAUCAUGAAUCUAUCGAGGAGUUAAUCUACUCAUCUAUGCAGAAAGCAGGGAUACAUUCAAUGUAUUGGUCAGGCUCUAUGGGGCAACUAGACUUAUUUGACAUGUGCCGUCGGACGAGGAGCAGUCCACUCGGCAAAAUAGCGACAUGGAUGGGGAGGUGGGGCCGGUGGAUUAGGCUGGAUUUCUCUUGGUCCAUCCCCGUCCCGACAGAGAUCAUCCAGAUGCUCAUGGAGAUGAUGUCAGACGAGAACUUGGACCAAUCAUGGCCGGAUGGUGGUGAAGCAACUCACCGUCUAGACCCCGAAAAGAAAACAGAAGAGGUAAUCCUCAAGUGGCACAUCGGCACCCAAGUCUACCUCAAGUGGUACAAGGAGCAACAAGCCGAGGAGAUACAUGGCUUCACCAAGGCAAUAGAGGCGCUCUCCAAUUACGCAGUUUUCCUGCUUGCAGCACAUCCCCUGCCGCCUCCUGUCUUUCCUUAUGAGAACCCAUUCACACUGAAGAAUAUAAUGAAAUGUGCGAAACACAGAUCGGCGGGCAAGCAUCUAUUGAGGUUACUUUCGAACCGUAACGCUAGGUACAAUUAUGGUUCUGACCAAAUAUGUUUUACUGAGCUCUAUGGGGAUUCCGUUGGUAAAACAUUUGAGAGUGGGUUUCAGAUUGGCGCACAGCUGAUAACGGGUGGCAUGAGUAUUGACAAAUCAUUGGCCCUUUUUUGGAUGGAAAUGCUGAAAAAGUUAGAGCAGAAGUUGGGUGAGGAUUUUCAUGUCAAACAGCUCAGCAAUGGCGGCGAACUGCUAACCUUCCUUACCAUUCUCGUGCAAGAAGAAACCGAGUCAAUGGAAGGGGAUGAGACGCCAUUGGCGAAGCCGACAUGGCCAGUUAUGAGCAGAGGCCGGAGGUAA
rnacentral:rRNA from 1 species